ensembl:lncRNA
GGUAGCGGAUUCUCAGAAGUGAAGAACUAAAUACUCCAGAAGACUUUGAAUUCAGAGGGAAAGAUAAAACUGCUCAAAAGUCACAAGACUCUCUCUUUUUUUGCUGCUUGUCUUGGCAGUACAUCUUGCCUUCAGCUUCAGAGUGGGAGUGAAAAACAUCUGCUUUCCUGAUCUCUUAUAGUCUAACAUAGAAUUUGAUGGACAGAAUGUUGGUACCAGCUAUGGAAGAGCUGUUCAGCCUCAACUCCAAGUCACACAAAAACUUAAUGGAAGGAGCAAUCUUCUGAAGAAGUACAGACAUGCUUCUCAGAGAGAUGUGAACAGUCAGGAGAAAGGACUCAGGAAUCAUAUGAAAGUGGACACAAAGUUUUGCAUUUGAGAGCUAUGUUCAUCUCAGAAGAACUUUGCACAGACAGUCUUCUUGCAUGAAAAUCUCAAUCUAUAAUGAAGCACCCCAUCCUGAAACUGUCUGCUCAGUUUAUUAGGAUGAGUAAUAUCGCAUUGAUUCUAGAUUAUCAAUCCUAAUUUGAAAUAAUAAGCAGUAUAUAGACAACAGGUACAUUAUUUAAGUAUGAUUGUAAGUAUAAUAACCUCUGAUAGAGAAUAUGCACAGCAUGUGAUCUGAAGUGAGUAUUAAUGUAAUGUUACUUAGUUUUUAUAAUUGCAGUCUAUAUUUCAUUUUUUACAUGUAAUAAGGUAUUUCCUACAUAUGGGUUACUUCAAGUUUGAUUUUUUUUUUUUUUUGAAUACUGAUUUCAGACACCUUUCACU